AUUGAACGCUGGCGGCAGGCCUAACACAUGCAAGUCGAACGGUAACAGGAAGAAGCUUGCUUCUUUGCUGACGAGUGGCGGACGGGUGAGUAAUGUCUGGGAAACUGCCUGAUGGAGGGGGAUAACUACUGGAAACGGUAGCUAAUACCGCAUAACGUCGCAAGACCAAAGAGGGGGACCUUCGGGCCUCUUGCCAUCGGAUGUGCCCAGAUGGGAUUAGCUAGUAGGUGGGGUAACGGCUCACCUAGGCGACGAUCCCUAGCUGGUCUGAGAGGAUGACCAGCCAGACUGGAACUGAGACACGGUCCAGACUCCUACGGGAGGCAGCAGUGGGGAAUAUUGCACAAUGGGCGCAAGCCUGAUGCAGCCAUGCCGCGUGUAUGAAGAAGGCCUUCGGGUUGUAAAGUACUUUCAGCGGGGAGGAAGGGAGUAAAGUUAAUACCUUUGCUCAUUGACGUUACCCGCAGAAGAAGCACCGGCUAACUCCGUG
rnacentral:rRNA from 1 species